rnacentral:misc_RNA from 1 species
GUACAUAAGUGCUUGCGCACGACAAUAAUUUCAUUACAUUCGAGUGUGUGUAAAUAUCCUCUACCAGCCAAAGCUAGCAAGAGGCCAAAGGUUCACAAGGGUGUAUUGGAUGAAAGCCACCAACGUGCACUUGCUCUCGAGAGAGAGCCAGCACUGAAGGCAACCAUUCGCAAUCAUUAAUGAUCCUUCCGCAGGUUCACCUACGGAAA